UACGUAGGGCGCAAGCGUUGUCCGGAAUCAUUGGGCGUAAAGAGCGUGUAGGCGGUCCUGUAAGUCCGCUGUGAAAGUCAAGGGCUCAACCCUUGAAUGCCGGUGGAUACUGCAGGACUAGAGUCCGGAAGAGGAGAGUGGAAUUCCUGGUGUAGCGGUGAAAUGCGCAGAUAUCAGGAAGAACACCAAUGGCGAAGGCAGCUCUCUGGGACGGUACUGACGCUGAGACGCGAAAGCGUGGGGAGCGAACAGG
rnacentral:rRNA from 1 species